rnacentral:rRNA from 1 species
UACGGAGGGUGCAAGCGUUGUUCGGAUUUACUGGGCGUAAAGGGCGUGUAGGCGGAUGUGCAAGCUGGGGGUGAAAGGCCAGGGCUCAACCCGGGACGACCUCCCAGAACUGCGCAUCUAGAGAGAGUCAGAGGCAGGUGGAAUUCCUGGUGUAGAGGUGAAAUUCGUAGAGAUCAGGAGGAACACCGGCGGCGAAGGCGGCCUGCUGGGACUCAUCUGACGCUGAGGCGCGAAAGCGUGGGUAGCAAAC